GAUAAACGCUAGCGGCAGGCUUAACACAUGCAAGUCGAGGGGCAGCAUAGAUUGUAGCAAUACAAUUGGUGGCGACCGGCGCACGGGUGCGUAACGCGUAUGCAACCUACCCGUCACAGGGGGAUAAUCCGGAGAAAUCUGGUCUAAAACCCCAUAACAUAUGGAUCGGCAUCGGUUCAUGUUGAAAUUUUCGGCGGUGACGGAUGGGCCUGCGUAGCAUUAACGUGUUGGUGAGGUAACGGCUCACCAAGGCGACGAUGCUUAGGGGGAAUGAGAGGUUCUCCCCCCACACUGGUACUGAGACACGGACCAGACUCCUACGGGAGGCAGCAGUGAGGAAUAUUGGUCAAUGGGCGCAAGCCUGAACCAGCCAUGCCGCGUGCAGGAUGACGGCUCUAUGAGUUGUAAACUGCUUUUGUACGAGGGUAAAGUGGGUUACGUGUAACCUUUUGAAAGUAUCGUACGAAUAAGGAUCGGCUAACUCCGUGCCAGCCGCCGCCGUAA
rnacentral:rRNA from 1 species